GAUGAACGCUAGCGAUAGGCUUAACACAUGCAAGUCGAGGGGCAGCAUGGUCUUAGCUUGCUAAGACUGAUGGCGACCGGCGCACGGGUGCGUAACGCGUAUGCAACUUGCCUCACAGAGGGGGAUAACCCGUCGAAAGACGGACUAAUACCGCGUACACUUCAUCUUGGGCAUCCAAGGUAGAGGAAAUGAAAUUCGCUGUGAGAUAGGCAUGCGUCCCAUUAGCUAGUUGGUGAGGUAACGGCUCACCAAGGCGACGAUGGGUAGGGGAACUGAGAGGUUGAACCCCCACACUGGUACUGAGACACGGACCAGACUCCUACGGGAGGCAGCAGUGAGGAAUAUUGGUCAAUGGGCGAGAGCCUGAACCAGCCAAGUCGCGUGAAGGAUGACUGUCUUAUGGAUUGUAAACUUCUUUUAUACGGGAAUAACAAGAGUCACGUGUGACUCCCUGCAUGUACCGUAUGAAUAAGCAUCGGCUAACUCCGUG
rnacentral:rRNA from 1 species